rnacentral:rRNA from 1 species
UACGAGGGGGGCGAGCGUUAUUCGGUCAAACUGGGCGUAAAGCGUCUUUAGGCUGUUCUUCGAGUGUUAACAACUAAAUUUCAGAACGUAGCUCUGGAAUGUUUGUUAAAACCGUUUUUCUAGAGUUUUUGGGGGGUCAGUAGUAUUCUUUCAAGAGGGUUAAAAUUCUUAGAAAGAAAGAAGAGUGCCGCGGGUGCAGACAACUGACUAACUUAAACUGACGCUAAAAGACUAAAGCAUGGGGAGCGAUCGGG